rnacentral:rRNA from 1 species
UGGGGAAUAUUGCACAAUGGGCGCAAGCCUGAUGCAGCCAUGCCGCGUGUAUGAAGAAGGCCUUCGGGUUGUAAAGUACUUUCAGCGAGGAGGAAGGCGUUGUGGUUAAUAACCGCAGCGAUUGACGUUACUCGCAGAAGAAGCACCGGCUAACUCCGCGCCAGCAGCCGCGGUAAUACGGAGGGUGCAAGCGUUAAUCGGAAUUACUGGGCGUAAAGCGCACGCAGGCGGUCUGUCAAGUCGGAUGUGAAAUCCCCGGGCUCAACCUGGGAACUGCAUCCGAAACUGGCAGGCUAGAGUCUUGUAGAGGGGGGUAGAAUUCCAGGUGUAGCGGUGAAAUGCGUAGAGAUCUGGAGGAAUACCGGUGGCGAAGGCGGCCCCCUGGACAAAGACUGACGCUCAGGUGCGAAAGCGUGGGGAGCAAACA